UCUCAUUAUGCACUAUGUAUAAGCUCUUCCUACGACUCUCCAUAGUCACUCUGUGUGCUAACAGUCAGCUACUGUGUGGUGCUGCUUAUGGAAGUGGGUUGGCUAGAGGGAAGGUUGUCAGGGAGAGGAGGCACAAACCACACUCAGCAUGCAAAGAGGGCUUGAGAGGAAGAGCUGCUUGAGGGGUAGAACAAUGAGAGCUUUACCAAGGAACUGAGAAGAUCUGGACCUGCGCUGAGAUCUGCACAGAAAUAGGGAAGGGAUUUUUUCACCAGACAAGAACCCAAGUCACAGAUUCGAAGACUUGCAGCUGAAUUUUGUCAUUGACUCAUCACAUGCCUAUUGAGUUCAUUAUGCUGUGUUGAAAUCCUGUCUCCACAAGCUCAAUUCCUACUCCAGGUGGAUGGUGUAUGUCUCAUACUCUUUCAAUGUGAAGUUUGUGUUAAUGUGGAAGCAGGAAUGGUGCUCUUGUGUUGGAGAAUGAGAGAGAGAAAAGAAAGAAAGCUACAGUUACUGGACAACAUAAAGUUAAAAAACUGUAUGUUCAGAUCUGAUGCUUGUUAAAUUUCUUAGUUGUUCUGAAUGACAAUGAAUUGAAAGCUAGAACUCCCUGAACCUGCAUCUCCUUCUGUUGUAGAUAGUCCUUCUACAUGUACGUGUAAACCCAACAAAAGAACUUCUGUGUCCACAGAUGAAAACAUACCUGUGGAAAUCCUCUCAUUUAUUCCUGCUUACCUUGUCCACCUUGAACUUGGCCAUGCUGUAAUUACAUGUCAUGCCCGACAAUAGCUGUAUUAUAUCACCCUGAUUAAAAAAUGGACUGCUUUAUCAAGCUACUGCCUAUCAUGAUGUCAGUCUGCACAAUGCUGUUGAUUUGGCAGACUUUUAAGCAAAAGAAUUAUAACUUCUUUCCUCUGGAGCUCUUUAUUAAAUCCAGAUUGAUGUUUCAUCCGAAAUGUCAAGGAAUCUGCCAGCAGCUUAGCAAUUAAUGAGAAUAAUGACCUGCUGUAAAACAAAAAACAGUGAAUUAAAAGUACAGGUCAUGUCUGUGUUUGCCAACAAGAUAGAUAUAACCUUUUGUUUUCAGCUGGUUUAAUUCUCAUCUUUAGCAAAAAUGACAUAGAUACUAGGGAGAGUCUGUUAAUUGCAAUUAAACUCAGGUUCCUAUUUGAGUGCUCAAAGAUUAUGGCUCGCAGAGACAGCUUAUACUAGGUCUGCUGCAGCAAUCCUGGCCCCAAGUUUUUCACUCUGUUUUUCUUCAAAGAUUUCUGCUCCUGCUGCUGGGAUUCCUCAGCUAAUCAUAAAACAGUUGCAGAUCUGCUUAAAUCAUAGUUGGAUGCAUUAGGAAAGACAAAAGUUGAUAACAGUUUAUGUUAAUAUACCAGAGUGAUACAGCAUCUGCUUUACCAGGAACUGAGCUGGUCCUGUAAAGAGGGAGGGAGUCAUCUAAAAUGGACAGAUUGUUGGGACUGAAAAUUCUUCUAAGCUUUCCUAAGCUCAUCUAGAUCUAAUAUACUAAUGAGUCAGAGCUUUAAAUCCCAUUGAAUUAAACAGAACAACUUUGAAAGAGGUUUGUACUUGAGUAAUUUUAAGGAUCCAGCCCUUAAAUUCUUAAAUUAUUUUUGAUGGUACGACUUAGACUUUGCAAUGUUGUACCUAAAAUACUGUAAUUCCAUUUAAAAAUUUAUACAAUUUGGACACUGUAAAAAAUAUUCUUGAUCAA